rnacentral:rRNA from 1 species
CUUUACUGUAGCCUGGUAUUGGGUUCGGGCUUUGACUGCGCAGGAUAGGUGGGAGACUGAGAAGUGUGCCUUGUGGGGCACAUAGAGUCAACGGUGAGAUACCACUCUUUCAGAGCUAGAGUUCUAACCUUCACCCGUGAUCCGGGGAAGGGACCGUAUCAGGUGGGCAGUUUGACUGGGGCGGUCGCCUCCUAAAAGGUAACGGAGGCGCGCAAAGGUGUUCUCAGGCUGGUUGGAAAUCAGCCGUAGAGUGUAAAGGCAGAAGAACGCUUGACUGUGAGAGUGACAACUCAAGCAGGGUGGAAACACGGCCUUAGUGAUCCGACGGUAUGCGCGUGGAAGUGCCGUCGCUCAACGGAUAAAAGUUA